rnacentral:lncRNA from 1 species
GUGGACGGGGCACCCUCCUGGCUCCGAAACUGCCUCGUGCAUGCCUCCCACCUCCUCUCCUCCAGUAGGGAAGAAGCACCCCCAACACCCCUGCUCCACCUGCGAGGAGAUGAGAUGUGCCUGCAUCACCUCUGUCAGCUCCGCACUCAGCACCGCCUCUCCCAGACCCUUCACUUGCAUUUGUCUGUCUGUGCCACCACUCUCCAAACGUCUCUGCCAAGCCAAGAGCCCUCCCUCCACUCCACCCCACACCCAGGAAUGCCGGGGAAGGGGAAGGUGGCGGAAGGGGUAAGAUGACCCGGGAACGUGGCCACCUACCCUGGGUCUAUGCAGAACCACACCCACUUGACCCCACAUCUCUGUGUCCAAAACCCACCCUUGCCUGCCCCAGGGCGAGGAGCUGACAGCCUGUGGGGGGCGUCUUCUAAAUGCCCCGGGGCUUUGGGAAUGCAGCUGGAGCUUGCCCCUUUGCCUUUCUGGUUGGCAGUGUGCGGGGAUGGGGUGGAGGUAUGGGGGGGCCUUCCUCUUUUACAUUGUCCUCCUCACCUUUCCCCUCUCUCUCCAGUCUCAGAAGUCUGCCAUUAUUUCCUUCUUAGUGGCCCACCCCUCCCACUGACUGAGUUCUCCUUCAACCCAUGUUCCAUCCCUGCACCCCCAACCCCAGGUUCUCACAGUCCAUGCUCCAGUGUCCCUCCUUGGCGGGCCACCCCCACCCUGGCACCCCCAAGGCCAGGGCUGCAUCUCCCAUAUCUCUCAGAUUGCCCAUCGUAGCAGAGGGCCAGUGGGAGGCUCCUCAGUACAGUGUCCUCUCACAGGCCUCUGGCAUCCUAGCUUUCUAGUCCCACCAGACACUUGGUCUCAAAAGCCUGAUCCCAUACAGAACUGAUCACUGGGCCUGGUGGGCCCAGCCCCCUACUUCUACACACCCUCCAUCCCCACCCGGAAGUUGGCAAUUUGGAGCUGAGUCCCAGAGACCAGAGUCCACUCACCCCUUCCCUCCCCACCCGUUCAGUGAAAGGAGACUGCCAGCAGGGCAAGGGUGACUCAAGUCCAACUAGGCCCAAACCUCUGGGGUGCCCUCCUCACCCAGCUGCCUGGCUAAGGUGUGGACGAAGCUCAUCCACUGACCCAGAACUUGCCCACCCCUCAGUCCCAGAGUCAGCAACAGACUAACCCCUGCCCUCUGCCCAGCCCGGCGACCUCAGAGCCAGGGUCUACACUGAGAGCUGGGAAAGGAAGGGGGAGGGUGAAAGAAAGCAGGCGGAGGCGCAGGUUCCUGGAAGGCGUCUUUAAUCAGGAUUUGGUAGUACACAAGCUCUCCGGAUUGUCUGCAUUAACAUACAGGGACUUAAAAAGGCACAAAAUCC